UACAGAGGUCCCAAGCGUUGUUCGGAUUCACUGGGCGUAAAGGGUGCGUAGGCGGUCGGGUAAGUCUGAUGUGAAAUCUCCAAGCUCAACCUGGGAAUUGCAUUUGUGACUGCACGGCUAGAGUGUGUCAGAGGGGGGUAGAAUUCCACGUGUAGCAGUGAAAUGCGUAGAGAUGUGGAGGAAUACCUAUGGCGAAAGCAGGCUUCUGGCCAUCACUGACGCUGAGCUGCGAAAGCUAGGGGAGCAAACAGG
rnacentral:rRNA from 1 species